UACGUAGGUGGCGAACGUUGUCCGGAUUUACUGGGUGUAAAGGGUGCGCAGGCGGUCUUGUAAGUCAGAGGUGAAAUCUCAAGGCUUAACCUUGAAACUGCCUUUGAUACUGCUGGGCUUGAGUACGGAAGAGGCGGAUGGAAUUCCUGGUGUAGCAGUGAAAUGCGUAGAUAUCAGGAGGAACACAGGUGGCGAAGGCGAUCCGCUGGUCCGUUACUGACGCUAAAGCACGAAAGCGUGGGGAGCAAACAGG
rnacentral:rRNA from 1 species